rnacentral:lncRNA from 1 species
GAUGCCUGCGGGGUGGUGAGGCGGGUCUGGGGGAGGGGGUGGAGCUGCGAGCGGGUGAUCUGGGAUCUGGGCUGGGGGAACAGAACUGAAGUGGAGGAAGUAAGAGUUAAUUAGAGCUAGGGUAGAGUGAAGGCCUAGAGGAUGAGGAGGCAAAGCUAGGCCGGCAGAACUAGAAGAGAGAGCCAGCCUGAGUGGUGAUGGUGGUGCCAGGGCAGUGUGGAGGCCUGGUAGAAGAGGAAGGGGCUGGAGAGGGUACAGAGCUCAAGGAGGGAGAGCUGAGGGGGGAAGGGUUUGGGGAGGGCGGGGGGGGGUCUAGGGGAGCAAAACUGAGGGAGGGGGCCCUGUGAAGGUGACAGCUGGGCUGAGGACAUGAGGGAUGAGGAUAUUGGGCUGCAGGAAGAGGAGCUGGUUGUAAAGACUGAGUUACUGAAAAGGAAGAAGCAACCUGCAUCAGAGCAAGUCCAGUGUAGGCCUAGUGAGUGUCCUGGCCCAGGGGGCAGUGGCUGUUUUACUGAGAGUGACACACUAGCUUCAGUGCAGAGGCUGUAAAGGUGCUUAUCUGAGCACAAUUUAGCUGUGGAAGACAGUCACUUGGUAUAAAUGUCCUUAUCUCUAGGCAAGCUACCCGUGCUCUCGCUGUGCUGAGCGCCGGUGUGAGUAACACUGGGCACCUUUGUAUGUAGACAAAGCCUGGAAAAGCAAAAUGCAGUAGUGUUAUCUCUGGGGUGGAGCCUGUGUUCAAAGAGCACAGACCAAGCUGCCUGGGAAGAGACCCCCCCCACCCCCCCAGGCAGGUGCCUUUUUCUGUUUCACUUUUCCCUUAAGUUGCUUUUGAAGCUCUUCUGCCUUCUGGGUUCAGAACUUUGAUAGAGGCCGUUUCCUCUGGUUUCCCCUCUCAGCUGACUUCUGUGUUGGUUCUUGCUUUUUUUUUUUUUUUUUUUGUUCAUAAGAUAGCCUCACAGACUGCACUGCUUUGUAGGAUUGGUGAGCUGCUUGCCUCUCUGCAGUGAGGCUUUUUGUUCUUCCUGAGCGUGCUCAUUUAAUGCAACAAGUUUCUCCAAAGCACAGGCACCACAGUGGGAAGAGAGAACUCCCAGGUGACUCUGCUACGGUACUGCAGCUGCGUCCAUUAGAAAAUAUUAUGUAUGCGGAGGUUAAUAGUGUGUGUCAAAAACGCUCAUUCAUUGCAUGUUCAUACUAAGGCACUCUUCCUGUUGGAGCAAGAGAAUGUGCCUG